rnacentral:rRNA from 1 species
AUUGAACGCUGGCGGCAGGCCUAACACAUGCAAGUCGAACGAGUGGCGGACGGGUGAGUAAUGUCUGGGAAACUGCCCGCUGGUGGGGGAUAACUACUGGAAACGGUAGCUAAUACCGCAUACCAUCGGAUGUGCCCAGAUGGGAUUAGCUAGUUGGUGGGGUAAAGGCGCACCUCGGCGACGAUCCCUAGCUGGUCUGAGAGGAUGACCAGCUACACGGGAACUGAGACACGGUCCAAACUCCUAGGGGAGGCAGCAGUGGGGAAUAUGGCACAAUGGGCGCAAGCCUGAUGCAGUGAUGCCGCGUGUAUGAAGAAGGCCUUCGGGUUGUAAAGUACUUUCAGCGAGGAGGCGUUACUCGCAGAAGAAGCACCGGCUAACUCCGUGCCAGCAGCCGCGGUAAUUC